GACGAACGCUGGCGGCGUGCUUAACACAUGCAAGUCGAACGAUGAAGCCGGAGCUUGCUCUGGUGAAUUAGUGGCGAACGGGUGAGUAACACGUGAGUAACCUGCCCUUGACUCUGGGAUAACUGCGGGAAACUGUAGCUAAUACCGGAUACGACCCUCGGAGGCAUCUCCUGGGGGUGGAAAGAAUUUCGGUCAAGGAUGGACUCGCGGCCUAUCAGCUAGUUGGGGAGGUAAAGGCUCACCAAGGCGACGACGGGUAGCCGGCCUGAGAGGGUGGCCGGCCACACUGGGACUGAGACACGGCCCAGACUCCUACGGGAGGCAGCAGUGGGGAAUAUUGCACAAUGGGCGCAAGCCUGAUGCAGCAACGCCGCGUGAGGGAUGACGGCCUUCGGGUUGUAAACCUCUUUUAGCAGGGAAGAAGCGAAAGUGACGGUACCUGCAGAAAAAGCACCGGCUAACUACGUGCCAGCAGCCGCAGUAA
rnacentral:rRNA from 1 species